AUGCAUCGGGUGCCGCCCCUCCACGGCCAUGGGCAAACACGGUUCUCCACCUCGUCGGACUGUAUCAUGGUCGCUCCGGCCGCUCCUGCGGGCAUCAUUGACCUCAAUGUCACGCCCCGGCACAGCUGCGCUGGCCAGCCGUCCGACGAGACGCAAAGGAAGCAGCCUCGGUCGUUCGCUUCAGCGAACAUGGCCGGCGCCCGCAAGUUGUUCAAUGAAAUGCCAAUGCUGACGCCCACGGCCAACGACCCUGAGUACUCAGCUUUCAUGGAGAACGUCAUCUUCCAGGACCAUGGUGAGGCCUUCCACGUCAACGGCCAGGCCCAAGCUUUUGAUCCCGACGCAACCUAA
rnacentral:rRNA from 1 species